UUAACCUCGGAUCAGGUAGGAGUACCCGCUGAACUUAA
rnacentral:rRNA from 1 species